rnacentral:rRNA from 1 species
CCUACGGGUGGCAGCAGUGAGGAAUAUUGGUCAAUGGACGAGAGUCUGAACCAGCCAAGUAGCGUGAAGGAUGACUGCCCUAUGGGUUGUAAACUUCUUUUAUAUGGGAAUAAAAUGUUCCACGUGUGGGAUUUUGUAUGUACCAUAUGAAUAAGGAUCGGCUAACUCCGUGCCAGCAGCCGCGGUAAUACGGAGGCACCGAGCGUUAUCCGGAUUUAUUGGGUUUAAAGGGAGCGUAGGUGGAUUGUUAAGUCAGUUGUGAAAGUUUGCGGCUCAACCGUAAAAUUGCAGUUGAAACUGGCAGUCUUGAGUACAGUAGAGGUGGGUGGAAUUCGUGGUGUAGCGGUGAAAUGCUUAGAUAUCACGAAGAACUCCGAUUGCGAAGGCAGUUCACUGGACUGCAACUGACACUGAGGCUCGAAAGUGUGGGUAUCAAACAGGAUUAGAUACCCUAGUAGUC